rnacentral:rRNA from 1 species
GAGCGGUAACAGAUCUAGCUUGCUAGAUGCUGACGAGCGGCGGACGGGUGAGUAACGCGUAGGAAUUUGCCUGGUAGUGGGGGAUAGCCCAGAGAAAUUUGGAUUAAUACCGCAUACACUCUACGGAGAAAAGCAGGGGAUCUUGGGACCCUGCGCUAUUAGAUAAGCCUGCGUGGGAUUAGCUAGUUGGUGAGGUAAGGGCUCACCAAGGCGACGAUCUCUAGCUGGUCUGAGAGGAUGAUCAGCCACACUGGAACUGAGACACGGUCCAGACUCCUACGGGAGGCAGCAGUGGGGAAUAUUGCACAAUGGGCGCAAGCCUGAUGCAGCCAGGCCGCGUGUGUGAAGAAGGCGUUCGGGUUGUAAAGCACUUUCAGUUGGGAGGAAAAGUAGCAGUUUAAUACGCUGUUGCCCUUACGUUACCAACAGAAGAAGCACCGGCUAACUCCGUGCCAGCAGCCGCGGUAAUACGGAGGGUGCGAGCGUUAAUCGGAAUUACUGGGCGUAAAGCGCAUGCAGGUGGUUUGUUAAGUCAGAUGUGAAAGCCCGGGGCUCAACCUCGGAAUUGCAUUUGGAACUGGCAGACUAGAGUACUGUAGAGGGGGGUAGAAUUUCAGGUGUAGCGGUGAAAUGCGUAGAGAUCUGAAGGAAUACCGGUGGCGAAGGCGGCCCCCUGGACAGAUACUGACACUCAGAUGCGAAAGCGUGGGGAGCAAACAGGAUUAGAUACCCUGGUAGUCCACGCCGUAAACGAUGUCUACUUGGAGGUUGUGGCCUUGAGCCGUGGCUUUCGGAGCUAACGCGUUAAGUAGACCGCCUGGGGAGUACGGCCGCAAGGUUAAAACUCAAAUGAAUUGACGGGGGCCCGCACAAGCGGUGGAGCAUGUGGUUUAAUUCGAUGCAACGCGAAGAACCUUACCAUCCCUUGACAUCCACAGAAGCCAGUAGAGAUACAGGUGUGCCUUCGGGAACUGUGUGACAGGUGCUGCAUGGCUGUCGUCAGCUCGUGUUGUGAAAUGUUGGGUUAAGUCCCGCAACGAGCGCAACCCCUGUUAUCAGUUGCCAUCAGUUCGGCUGGGCACUCUGAUGAGACUGCCGGUGAUAAGCCGGAGGAAGGCGGGGACGACGUCAAGUCAUCAUGGCCCUUACGAGUAGGGCUACACACGUGCUACAAUGGCGCAUACAGAGGGCAGCCAACCAGCGAUGGUGAGCGAAUCCCAAAAAGUGCGUCGUAGUCCGGAUUGGAGUCUGCAACUCGACUCCAUGAAGUCGGAAUCGCUAGUAAUCGUAGAUCAGAAUGCUACGGUGAAUACGUUCCCGGGCCUUGUACACACCGCCCGUCACACCAUGGGAGUGGGCUGCACCAGAAGUAGAUAGCUUAACCUU